AGAGGCUAUUAAUGAGCUCCCCGGAUCCAGCUCUCCCAGCCCAAGUGAACGGGACUAAUGAAAGUGAACAAAGGGGAGACAGAGAGAGGGAGGUCAUGCUGAGCUUCUAUCCACUUGGCCCUCCAGACCUGCAGCACUCUCUCACCUCUUGUCUUCAAGGUGACUCUAUUUCCCUUUCUGACAGUAGAAUACUAUGGAUCCACUUUUCCUUCGAAGGAUGAGGCAACCCAAUUUGCUUUCACUCAAAUCCAGAAACUAAAUUUAAAAGAUCCCUGUGAAUUCAGUGCCCAUCUUGGUAUUGGAGCUUGUGGUAGGCACCACCAGCUGUCACCUGCAAUCCAUCCCCACCCCUUCCUUUCCAUCAAAACCCUGGAUUUGUUUAGUGGUGUGCCCAGCCAAAAAUGUUCAUUCUUCCAGCCUCCCUUGUACCUAGAGGGUGACCAUUUGAUUACAGUUCUGGCCAAUAUUACAGUUAUUGGAUUUCUAAGAAAACUUUUGCAUUCGUA
rnacentral:lncRNA from 10 species